rnacentral:rRNA from 1 species
AAAAUACGGGAGGCAGCAGCUAAGAAUCUUCCGCAAUGGACGAAAGUCUGACGGAGCGACGCCGUGUGAAUGAAGAAGGCCGAAAGGUUGUAAAAUUCUUUUGCAGAUGAAGAAUAAUCAUAGGAGGGAAUGCCUGUGAGAUGACGGUAAUCAUGCGAAUAAGCCCCGGCUAAUUACGUGCCAGCAGCCGCGGUAAUUUUU